rnacentral:lncRNA from 1 species
AUCAAUCAAAGUAGCUCUUUGUGAAUAAAUGCACAUAUAUGGAGAUCACCUGUCUUUACAAGACAAGGGAGCAUGUAAGAAGAUGGACAUUAAUAUUCAGGGGAAGGUCUGGUGAGAGAUCUGAGUGUGGCCAUGAGGACAUCUGGGUGCUCUCUGGGUGCAUGAGCAAGGUUAUUCUGGGCAAAUCCUACUCUGCUGGUGAGAUUUAUUUCUGGAUGGCAAGAAGAAGAAGCUAA